CGUCGAGGAAAGAGAGAGAGAU
rnacentral:miRNA from 1 species